GAAGGGACUUGAGGGUAAGAAGUUAUGCCUACAUUGAAUGGAAGGAUGUUCUUUUCUGUACCUAGCUCUGGAAGCUUAUGAAUGAUCCCUGAGCAAGAACUGGUGAAGAUUUAGUUUUGAGUCCUUGGGAAAGUCUAAGUCUUUGUUUUCUCAUCUCUGAAAUGGUGAUAAUAUUUUUUUUUUCUUGCUUCAUUAACCUGUUAGGCUUAAAUGAGUUGGUGGACAAAAGAAUGAUUUGUGAAGAGUAAAGUGCUAUGUAAAUACAGGAUAAGAAUCUCAGCUUGCAUAUAAUUCAAUGUAUGAACACAUGAAUUCCCUAAUUGAAACAAUGCUCUUGCUCCCUGUAGGGAGUAUGGAUCUCGUUGUAGUUUAGAUGACCACUCUAAUACCAUCUUGUAAUUGUACUUGGGAAUUCCAGUUGGGUUCAGAAUGACUGAGAUUUGAUUGCUGUUGAAUGUUUUUCUCUAUUUGCUCAAAGUUGGUGCGCAAGAAGUAUGUGUUAUCCUGCUUUCGAGAUGCCCUUGUGAGGCAUGCCUCCCUGGUCACACAGCUGGUGGCUCAGGAUCAGAGAGUCUGCAUUCACUUCAUAAAUAUCCUUUUUGGUGAGAUUAAAAGGAAACUUAGCAUGACUUUUGUGUGGAUAGCAUGUGUAUUUAUUUUUGGGGAUCUUGGGGAAUGAUCUUGGGAUAAUGAUUUAGACUUUUUGUAUUGUAACAGUUUAUUAGCCCAUUGUUUUGUCAUAAUGAUGGAGAUAUGGCCCUCUUUCAAAGAUAGGUGAUACAGCUAUCUUUUAUGGUAAUUAGCCUUACUAGAUCUAAAAGGUUAGUAAAAAUGUGAAGAUGAGUAUGGGAAAUACAUAAUUCUUCAAAGAGUGCCGUCUAGAUUUUUCACAGGAUCAGAAGGCUUGGAAUGGAAUUGGCUGCCCUUGAUGUGACUGAUCAAGUUAAUUCACUUCUCUUGUGCCUUACAAACAUGUUUCUCCUGUGCCUGAGGGAACACAUGCUUCUUCAUGUGUAAAAUGAAACAGAUUAAAUUGUACCUGAGGUCUCAUCUUUUAAUAUGAUUUUGAUUUCCAGUGGAAUGAAUCAUUUUUGGGAAGAGGGCAUUUAAUUUGUAUUGGGUGCUUCUCUAUGUUAGAAGCUUUUCAGCCUUUUCACUGCCAAGGCAAUAUUUAAGGAAGAUAGGAUGAUCCUCAAGGCUCAGGGAGG
rnacentral:lncRNA from 1 species